CGCGUAGGCGGAUGCGUAAGUCAGAGGUGAAAGCCCUGGGCUCAACCCGGGAAUUGCCUUUGAGACUGCGUGUCUUGAGUAUGGGAGAGGGUGGCGGAAUACCCAGUGUAGAGGUGAAAUUCGUAGAUAUUGGGUAGAACACCAGUGGCGAAGGCGGCCACCUGGCCCAUAACUGACGCUGAGGCGCGAAAGCGUGGGGAGCAAACA
rnacentral:rRNA from 1 species